UGCAGUCGAACGGUAGCAGGAAGUGCUUGCACUUUGCUGACGAGUGGCGGACGGGUGAGUAAUGCUUGGGAACUUGCCUUUGCGAGGGGGAUAACAGUUGGAAACGACUGCUAAUACCGCAUAAUGUCUACGGACCAAACGGGGCUUAGGCUUCGGCGCAGAGAGAGGCCCAAGUGAGAUUAGCUAGUUGGUGGGGUAAAGGCUCACCAAGGCGACGAUCUCUAGCUGUUCUGAGAGGAAGAUCAGCCACACUGGGACUGAGACACGGCCCAGACUCCUACGGGAGGCAGCAGUGGGGAAUAUUGCACAAUGGGGGGAACCCUGAUGCAGCCAUGCCGCGUGUGUGAAGAAGGCCUUCGGGUUGUAAAGCACUUUCAGUUGUGAGGAAAAGUGAGUAGUUAAUACCUGCUCACCGUGACGUUAACAACAGAAGAAGCACCGGCUAACUCCGUGCCAGCAGCCGCGGUAAUACGGAGGGUGCGAGCGUUAAUCGGAAUUACUGGGCGUAAAGCGCACGCAGGCGGUUUGUUAAGCUAGAUGUGAAAGCCCCGAGCUCAACUUGGGAUGGUCAUUUAGAACUGGCAGACUAGAGUCUUGGAGAGGGGAGUGGAAUUCCAGGUGUAGCGGUGAAAUGCGUAGAUAUCUGGAGGAACAUCAGUGGCGAANGCGACUCCCUGGCCAAAGACUGACGCUCAUGUGCGAAAGUGUGGGUAGCGAACAGGAUUAGAUACCCUGGUAGUCCACACCGUAAACGCUGUCUACUAGCUGUUUGUGGCUUUAAGCCGUGAGUAGCGAAGCUAACGCGAUAAGUAGACCGCCUGGGGGAGUACGGC
rnacentral:rRNA from 1 species